rnacentral:rRNA from 1 species
UACGGGGGGGGCAAGCGUUGUUCGGAAUCACUGGGCGUAAAGGGCGUGUAGGCGGUCCGCUAAGUCUGAUGUGAAAGCCCGGGGCUCACCCCCGGAAGGGCAUUGGAAACUGGCGGACUCGAGUCUCGGAGAGGAAGGUGGAAUUCCUGGUGUAGCGGUGAAAUGCGUAGAUAUCAGGAGGAAUACCGGUGGCGAAGGCGGCCUUCUGGACGAUGACUGACGCUGAGACGCGAAAGCGUGGGGAGCAAACAGG